UACGUAGGGUGCAAGCGUUAAUCGGAAUUACUGGGCGUAAAGCGUGCGCAGGCGGUGAUGUAAGACCGAUGUGAAAUCCCUCGGCUUAACCGGGGAACUGCGUCUGAUACUGGAUGGCUUGAGUUCGGGAGAGGGAUGCGGAAUUCCAGGUGUAGCGGUGAAAUGCGUAGAUAUCUGGAGGAACACCGGUGGCGAAGGCGGCAUCCUGGACCGAUACUGACGCUGAGGAGCGAAAGCCAGGGGAGCAAACGGG
rnacentral:rRNA from 1 species